GGGAGGGAGUGACUAGUGACAGAGGGAGGGAGUGACUAGUGACAGAGGGAGGUAGUGACUAGUGACUGAGGGAGGGGGUGACAACAACAUAGGUCACCCCAUCCAUCUCUCUGUCACUGUGUCACCCGCUCCCUCACUAGUCACCCCCUCACUCACUCUGUCACUAAUCACCCACUCACUCACUCUGUCACUAAUCACCCCCUCACUCACUCUGUCCCUAGUCACCCCCUUCC